CACCAUCACUGAACACUGUGGUUCUUUAAGGAUAGUGACAUGCAGAAUGAAAGCCUUUUACCAUGUGUUCUCUUUGAAGCUGCUACCUGGAAGUUUCAUCUACAUGACAAGAACUUUGGUUUCCACAACCGCCCACCUUAACCUAACUCAAGCUGACUUCACCUAUUCAGGAAGAGUUUAACUCUUUCAGCUGAUUGCCAAUCAGAAAAUCUUUGAGUCCGACUGGAUGCGGUGGCUUACGCCUGUAAACCCAG
rnacentral:lncRNA from 1 species